rnacentral:rRNA from 1 species
CCUUGGCCGCCUGCCUUUAACAUGCAAGUCGACGGUAACAGGUCUUCGGAUGCUGACGAGUGGCGAACGGGUGAGUAAUGCAUCGGAACGUGCCCAGUCGUGGGGGAUAACGCAGCGAAAGCUGUGCUAAUACCGCAUACGAUCUAUGGAUGAAAGCGGGGGAUCGCAAGACCUCGCGCGAUUGGAGCGGCCGAUGUCAGAUUAGCUAGUUGGUGGGGUAAAGGCCCACCAAGGCGACGAUCUGUAGCUGGUCUGAGAGGACGACCAGCCACACUGGAACUGAGACACGGUCCAGACUCCUACGGGAGGCAGCAGUGGGGAAUAUUGCACAAUGGACGAAAGUCUGAUGCAGCAACGCCGCGUGGAGGAUGACACAUUUCGGUGCGUAAACUCCUUUUAUAUAGGAAGAUAAUGACGGUACUAUAUGAAUAAGCACCGGCUAACUCCGUGCCAGCAGCCGCGGUAAUACGGAGGGUGCAAGCGUUACUCGGAAUCACUGGGCGUAAAGAGCGUGUAGGCGGGUAUAUAGGUCAGAAGUGAAAUCCUAUAGCUUAACUAUAGAACUGCUUUUGAAACUGUAUACCUAGAAUGUGGGAGAGGUAGAUGGAAUUUCUGGUGUAGGGGUAAAAUCCGUAGAGAUCAGAAGGAAUACCGAUUGCGAAGGCGAUCUACUGGAACAUUAUUGACGCUGAGACGCGAAAGCGUGGGGAGCAAACAGGAUUAGAUACCCUGGUAGUCCACGCCCUAAACGAUGUACACUAGUUGUUGUGAGGCUCGACCUUGCAGUAAUGCAGUUAACACAUUAAGUGUACCGCCUGGGGAGUACGGUCGCAAGAUUAAAACUCAAAGGAAUAGACGGGGACCCGCACAAGCGGUGGAGCAUGUGGUUUAAUUCGACGAUACACGAAGAACCUUACCUGGACUUGACAUAGUAAGGACUUUCUAGAGAUAGAUUGGUGUCUGCUUGCAGAAACUUAUAUACAGGUGCUGCACGGCUGUCGUCAGCUCGUGUCGUGAGAUGUUGGGUUAAGUCCCGCAACGAGCGCAACCCUCGUCCUUAGUUGCUAACAGUUCGGCUGAGAACUCUAAGGAGACUGCCUACGCAAGUAGGAGGAAGGUGAGGACGACGUCAAGUCAUCAUGGCCCUUACGUCCAGGGCUACACACGUGCUACAAUGGGAUAUACAAAGAGCAGCAAUACGGUGACGUGGAGCAAAUCUCAAAAAUAUCUCCCAGUUCGGAUUGUAGUCUGCAACUCGACUACAUGAAGUUGGAAUCGCUAGUAAUCGUAGAUCAGCUAUGCUACGGUGAAUACGUUCCCGGGUCUUGUACUCCCCGCCCGUCACACCAUGGGAGUUGAACUCAUUCGAAGCGGGGAUGCUAAAGUAGCUACCUCCACAGGAUUACGGGGU